CGUGGCAUCGCUUGAAGAGUGUCCCGCAUCAGUUUUAGUUUGGAUUUCUUGUUUGUGGAUGAGCUGGCCUUCAGGAGCUUAUCAACACAAUCCCAAGGGAUCAGAGGCUCCUUGAGCUCGCGGAAGAACAGUUUCAGGGCUCCUGUCAGUACGUGAACAUCGUCCACUGUCUCCAAGAUAGCAAAAUUUCCUUGGUCCACCUGCAGUCGGAUCUUUUGAAUGAUGCACUUUCUGACAAACAAGGGAACCACCUCGGGGCGUUUGCCCUCUUCCCCAAGAUCCGAGAGUUCCAGUUCUCGGAGAGUGCUUCCGAAGACAGAUCAUCAGAGGAGCCAUAAAUUACGGAGGAAUGGAGAGGAAGCCAAAUCGGACGACGCGAAACACCCACCAUCACCAAUACUCCCAAUACUCUCAACCCAAGGAGAUUGGUGACCUUAAUUCUGACACACUGAUUCUAUACACACCAACAGAUCUGUUGGAUCGUGUCAAAAGCGAGGAAAAAAGCCUCUUUAUACUACCAAUUGUGGAGGACGAACACAAAGAAGGAACCUCUCGAUCCAAGGUCUUUGGGCCACCUCCCAGCUUGGCAAUAAUCACCACUAGAAAAUGAGCAUUUUAUGCAAAGGGAAAUGACUUGGGCCCAACCUAUUGUUUCCCCGAGAUGAAAUUUGAAAUG